rnacentral:rRNA from 1 species
GCCUACGGGGGGCAGCAGUAGGGAAUCUUCCACAAUGGGCGAAAGCCUGAUGGAGCAACGCCGCGUGGGUGAAGAAGGUCUUCGGAUCGUAAAACCCUGUUGUUAGAGAAGAAAGUGCGUGAGAGUAACUGUUCACGUUUCGACGGUAUCUAACCAGAAAGCCACGGCUAACUACGUGCCAGCAGCCGCGGUAAUACGUAGGUGGCAAGCGUUAUCCGGAUUUAUUGGGCGUAAAGGGAGCGCAGGCGGUCUUUUAAGUCUGAUGUGAAAGCCUUCGGCUUAACCGGAGUAGUGCAUUGGAAACU